UACGUAGGUGGCAAGCGUUAUCCGGAUUUACUGGGUGUAAAGGGCGUGUAGGCGGGAAAGCAAGUCAGAUGUGAAAACUAUGGGCUCAACCCAUAGCUUGCAUUUGAAACUGUUUUUCUUGAGUACUGGAGAGGCAGAUGGAAUUCCUAGUGUAGCGGUGAAAUGCGUAGAUAUUAGGAGGAACACCAGUGGCGAAGGCGAUCUGCUGGACAGCAACUGACGCUGAGGCGCGAAAGCGUGGGGAGCAAAC
rnacentral:rRNA from 1 species